rnacentral:rRNA from 1 species
AUGGCGACGGCGCGCCACCGCGGCAUGCCGCGGCGCGAAUGCAACCUGCUGAUCAGGACCCUCGCGAGGCGCGGCAGCUACGCCCGUGUCAUGGCGGUCUACUACGACCUCCGCGGGCGCGGCCUCGUGGCGGACAGCUUCACCUACCCGUUCGUGUUCAGGGCCAUCGGUGCCCUCAAGCUACCGGUCGAGGGACGCAAGGCGCACGCGGCGGCCCUGAAGACCGGUUUCCGGUGGGAUGCCUACACCGCGAGCUCGCUCAUGGACAUGUACACGACGGUGGACCGCCCGGAAGUCGCGCGGAAGGUGUUCGAUGAAAUGCCGCAGAGGGCGCUGGUCGUGUGGAAUAUGAUGAUCAGGUGCUAUGUCAGGCGCGGCCGAAACACAGAAGCGGUUGCUUUGGCUGAGGAGAUGGAAAGGGGCGGUCUAACGCCCGAUAGGGUCACGCUGUUGACCGCACUCACCGCGUGCUCCAGAGCCGGUGAUCUGAGCUUAGGAAGGAGAAUUCAUGCCUACAUGGAUGGAGUCACUGGGUUCAGCCUCCCAGUUGCAAAUGCACUGCUGGACAUGUACAUGAAGAAUGGCUGCUUGGAAGAGGCGGUGAAGCUGUUCGAGAAAAUGCCGUCGAGGAACAUCAUUUCUUGGACUAUACUUGUGUCUGGAUAUGCCUUUGCCGGACAGGUGGACAAGGCGAGAUUACUCUUCCACCAGUGCACAGAGAAGGAUCUAAUUAUGUGGACUGCUAUGAUCAACGCGUAUGCACAACAUGGAUGCUUCGUGGAGGCAUUGUCGUUGUUUCGAGACAUGCUAAUGCAUCAAGUUGAGCCAGACAGGUUCACUGUUGUCACUCUCCUGACAUGCUGUGCCAAUCUUGGCGCGCUCGAUCAAGGUGAAUGGAUCCACCAGCUUGCUGAAGGUAAGAAGAUGAAGCUUGAUGCAGUUCUUGGCACGGCAUUGAUCGACAUGUAUGCCAAGUGUGGGCAUGUAGAGAAGUCGGUGGAGGUCUUUGAACGAAUGCAAGGCAGAGACACUACGGCUUGGACUGCCAUUAUCUGCGGCCUGGCCACAAAUGGUCAGGCAGGUAGAGCCCUCGAAUUGUUUGAGGGUAUGGAGAAAAGCAAUGCUAAGCCUGACAGCGUUACCUUCAUUGGGGUGCUGAGUGCAUGUUGCCAUGGUGGCUUGGUUGAUGAAGGGCGGAAACAGUUUCGUGCCAUGAAGGAGGUUUAUCGGAUACGACCAAGAGUUGAACAUUAUAGUUGCCUUGUCAAUCUUUUAGGUCGUGCUGGUCAACUUGAUGAAGCUGAGAAGUUGAUCAAGGAUAUACCAAUUGACAAGGACGCUAUGCCACUGUUUGGUGCACUCCUCACUGCUUGCAAGGCUCAAGGCAAUGUCGAGAUGAGCGAAAGGCUGACCAAACGAAUAGGCAAGCAAGGCUACCAAAUUCCUGAUGUGGAUUUGCUCAUGUCUAAUGUGUAUGCAACUGCAAGUCGAUGGGAGGAUGUAUUAAGAGUAAGGAGCAAGAUGGCACACCCCAGUGUCAAGAAAAAUGCAGGGUGCAGCUUGAUCGAGGUGAAGGGAUACUGA